GGGACUGCGGUGUGCGUGGUGCGCUCGUUGGACUGAAAAUCCAAAGGUGAACGUUCGACUCGUUCCAGUCCCA
rnacentral:tRNA from 1 species